CGCUACACUCCUACGGGGAGGCAGCAGUAGGGAAUCUUCACAAUGGGCGCAAGCCUGAUGGAGCAACACCGCGUGAGUGAAGAAGGGUUUCGGCUACGUAAAGCUCUGUUGUUAAAGAAGAACACGUAUGAGAGUAACUGUUCAUACGUUGACGGUAUUUAACCAGAAAGUCACGGCUAACUACGUGCCAGCAGCCGCGGUAAUACGUAGGUGGCAAGCGUUAUCCGGAUUUAUUGGGCGUAAAGAGAGUGCAGGCGGUUUUCUAAGUCUGAUGUGAAAGCCUUCGGCUUAACCGGAGAAGUGCAUCGGAAACUGGAUAACUUGAGUGCAGAAGAGGGUAGUGGAACUCCAUGUGUAGCGGUGGAAUGCGUAGAUAUAUGGAAGAACACCAGUGGCGAAGGCGGCUACCUGGUCUGCAACUGACGCUGAGACUCGAAAGCAUGGGUAGCGAACAGGAUUAGAUACCCUGGUAG
rnacentral:rRNA from 1 species